rnacentral:lncRNA from 1 species
AUGAGCUCAUCCUAAUGUCUCUAAUUCUAACCCAUUCACAUGGCUCAUUCUAUCUUUCUCUUCUUAUCUAUAACCUCCCACUUCAACAGUGAGAAAUCUGGCUGUUACCACCUGCCAUCCAUUUACUUUAUUGUUCAAUUCUGGUACACAUGUAGUUGGGUUUCAGAGCUGUUAAUCUAUGUCAACCUCCAUGAGAAACACCUCUGCCAACUAGAGUACAGUGUUUAUGAAGAGUUCUUUUGGUCAUUAAUCUUACAGUUUACAGUCAUUUCCAAAGUUAUUUAGGUUAGCACAUCUGUUCCUCCAGCUCUUCAGUGAGAUUAUCUUAUAAUACCAUGCAGGAUAGUUUUUUGGGUCCAAAAUAUCUACUGUGUUUCACCUAGUCAACCAUCUCCCAUUCCCAAACCUCUGGCAACCACUGAUUCAUUUUCUAUCUCUAGUGUUUUGCCUUUUUAAAAAAGUCACACAAGUAGAAUCAUACAAUAUGUAACCUUUAAGAAUGGCUUCUUUCAUUUAAAUUUCAUCCAUAUUUUUAUGUGGAUUAGGAGUUUGUUCCUUUUGAAAGCUGAGUAAUAGUCCAUAGUACGGGUGUACCUUUGCUCAUCCAUUAUUAAAAAAAAAUCUUAGUUGCUUCCAGCUUUCUUUCAAAUACAGCUGCUCUGAACAUUUAUGUUAAGAUUUUCAUGUAGACAUAAGAUUUCCAGUAAGUGCAAUUGCUGAGUCAUGUGUUAAAUCUAUAUUUUACUUGAUAAGAAACUUCCAAACUGUCUUCCAAAAGGAUUGUACUAUUUUUCCUUUCUACCAGUAAUCAAUUGGUGUUCCUAUGCAUCAGUACUUGGUAUGGCCACUUUUUAAUAAUUUAGUAAAUGUCAUAGGUAUGUUGUAAUUGUUUUAGCUUGAUUUUAUUUUAAUCUGCAUUUUUUAAUGACAAGUAAUGUUGAGUUCCAAACUCAAUUGACUGUAUUAGUAUGUAUGUAUUUCUAAGCUCUCUGUUCUGUUCCUUUGAUGUGUGUGUCUAUUUUUUUGACCACAUUGUUUUGAUUACUGUAGCUUUAUUAUAGUGAAUUAUGAAAUUGACAGUGUGAGUUCUCCAACUUCAUUCUUUUUCAGAAUUUUGUCAAGUUAUUCUAGCAGCUUUACCUGUGCAUAUAAAUUUUAGAAAUGAUUUAUCAAUGUGUAUCAAAAGUUUAUUGGUAUUUUUAUUGGGAUUCCAUUGAGUCUAUAGAUCAAAUUGGGAACAACUGAAGGG